GGGGGGGGGAGGUAGGGAUCAUCUUUUCAUGCCUCAACGAUGGAGUUCUGCUGGCUGAGCUCAUAGCAGCAUCUGCAGUGGAAACAGUUAAUAUUUGUGUUUAAAAAAAAAAAAACAACACAUGAACAUGAGACUAAGGUAGAACGUUUAAAAAUAACUGUUCUUGAUGUUGCUACAGAGACCUUUAUUAUAGCCAUAGUACGUGAUGUGCAUUGAUUACAUUCCACAUAAGUAGCGUUUUCUCGCUCAGACUAGUAGGAACUGACAGUACUCCCACUUGUAUGAGACAGUAUGAAGAAGCAUGCAGGCUGUGGCAGAAAGGAGGUGUGCUUGGCUUUUCAACUCUUAAAAACUGUAAGUGUGCAGUUUUAGUACUCUACUGACUGUUUCUUGCCCUUGCAGAUGUCCCUUGUUUAACGCAUCCUGCCUUUUCUAUAGCAGAAGUGUGUAGGGUUGUAGCAAUGCUGGUGAUAAACAUAGCGAUCCCACCAUAACCAGAAGGGCUAUAAUUCAUGUGGUUGGCAGUGCAUGCAUUUGCAGCUCCCUGUUAAAUCUGAGUAGUUUCAACACAUUACAUUCAAAUACAAAAAUAUACUGACUGCUUGAAAGACUGCGUUUGCCUUUGAGCUGGCUUGAUUAGACUACAGUACUGAAGGCAGAAAAUGCAUUGCUUGUUCCCAUACACAUGGGCUCCUUCAUAAAAAUGCUGUUGAGAAAAUGCUGCUGAUCAGAAGCUGUUAAGUCAAAAUCUUGGCAAAAAAAAAAAAAUAUAUAUAUAUAUCACCAUAUUCUAAGCUUUGCUCAUUCCAAUAAAAACAACAGUGGAUGGAAAUGAAGCCCUCGAAGAACUUCAGUUUCACUUUUAUAUGACAGUUUUCAUCUCUCUGAGUUUCUUAGUAUUGACUUGGAUUAAAUAACCUUGUAUGGAUGAGAAUUUUUUUGCAGAAAUGAUUCAGGAAGCCAAGCUGCUUUGGGGCUUAAUUCAUAGAAGUUUCAGAUUUCAUAUUGAAAAUAUUUACUUCAGUUUUUCCAUUUGCUAGACAGACAGCUCAAUAAGUAAAUUCAAGUACAAGUGCAUAACGCAGCACUUCGGGCAGCUGUGGUUUUACAGCCAUGCUUCUAAAACUGUUGGAAGAACUGCAGUUGGUGGGUAGAAUUUAUAAGUGAUUUGCUGAGGUGCUGAGGGCAGCAGACAAAGUUCCUCCCUUCUGUCAGCCUGCAGAUCUGAAUUCUGCCUUUUCAGAUGGUCCGCCCUUCAGUACAUGACUGAAGCCUGUCCUAAAAUGGGAAAAUUAUCCUUUGGUUAAGAAUGAUUUGAAUUCUUUUCUCCGUCAGAAGUUUGGAACUGAACGUGAAGGACACAGAUUUAACUCAGCACUGCCAGAGGUUUUUGUCUACUAUUUUUACUGAUAAUCCCAAUGUUAGAGGAAAAGAAGAUCCCAAAGUCCCAAAUCUGAAGCUGGGGUGUACACAGGUUUGCAACUAUUAGUGUCACUGAAAGUCUUCAGGCCGUGUCCUUACGCUGCUUGAGUUUGUGCAAGAACGUGUUGUGAUAAAGCUACCUGCUUAAAGGCUGGUCACGUGAGUCCUCAUGCUCUAUCUUUUUGUUCUUUGACUCCAGAAAAUCAAUACAGGCACAGGAAGUCGGUUGUAAAACCCUGUUACCAGGGAGGAACGGAAACAAGACGGUGAAUUAACGUUUCUAUUUGCUGUUCCCUUGCCUGCUGCCAAUGCAAAGCAAACCAACCUACUGCUCUGGACGAGUUCAUCCCUAAAGUGUGCAUCAGCUCUUCAGACGUUGAGCCCUUCCACAAAUUCGAAAUUGUUUUUAAUGCAGUUUACUGAGGCUUCUUGUGUCAGCCAAGGGCUGAUUUGGAAUAAUUGAGGAAGAGAGCCAAGCAUUAAAAAAAAAAUUAAAAUCUGAGGUUGUGGCACAUCUGAGACAUAUUGAUCAUCAUGUAAUUAAACUUGAAAUGUAUUAGGGGAAGUAGCUAAAACAAUCCUCAGCUCUAAGAGAGCUGACGUGGGAACAGGUAAGAGGGCCUUGGGGAGGCUGCCUUAUGAGGGAUGGCAAAACUAUUUCAGAAAAUGUACAGGAAAGUUGCAUGAGAGAGUGCUAAAUGACAAAUGUGGUAACAAUAAUCCCAAACUUUUCACUUUCUGAAGAUUAAGAGAGCUAUCAUUUACAUGAAAACCAGAAGCCAGGGAAGCAGAUGCAGCACGAAGGAGCAUACGUGUGACAAAUCUCACUUGUGUCUGAAUUAAAGAGCAGUUCCUGGACUUAAAAUGCAAUGGCAGGCUGCAAAUAAAGGAAAUCUUCCAUUUGCCUUGGAUACUGAACCAGACCAGACAGCUGUAGUGCUCUCUCGAUGGUAGAACCCUCAGGACAGUUGAAAGGAAGGGAUGUACCACAGCAAUCUGUCAUCAGUGCAACUUCCAGCAAUCUUUGUAGCUAACAGAUCACAGUGGAUUUUCUUUCUCCUCAUGAAUUUACCUAAUCACUUUCUAAAUCCUGUUUCAUGCAGUACUGUGAGAAUGAUAAUCUAAUUUUGGUCUCUAAGACAUGAAAUACAAAAACAAUAGGAGGCCCAGGAAAGAAUGAAGCCAUUUUGCCAACAGAUAUUACAAAAACAUGCAACAAUUAUAGCACAUUGACGAAGAAAAUUACUAAAACCGCUAAUUACAAAAUAACCCAGCAUUUCCUGCUGUGAAAAUGAAUUUGUUAUUUAGACCACUUCACUGUUUUUGAUAAAUCACCACCUGUAAUUGCUUUUCUAAGCUCGUGAUAGGGGUAUUUCUCUAUUUGGUGCCAUGAUGUCAAAUUGAAAGAGUACCUUUUCGACUGGUCGCAUUGUCUAGGGUUAAAUAGAAAACCUUUCCAAACUCUUCUUCACUCCAAGAUUUUUGUAUCAGUCAUGGAUGAGAAGAAAAAAGACAAAUGUCACCACUCUUUGCCUAGCUGUGAGAAAUUCACUGCCUGUGAAGUUAUGCUACUUGUUCUCUGCUACAAUACUAACUUUCAUGUAUUUUGCAAUCCCUGUCUAUCUCUGUUGUAAUUUCUUGCAAAGUGUUGAAAAUGUAAAGCUCUACACUCACAAUUGCCCCACAAUCUGAUUUACAAACUAAAAGAAUAUACCUGGGCUUUUCUGAGUAUUUUUCUUGCUUACAUAUAGGUGAGAUAUUCCCUUUAACAAAUAAUCCUCAUAUUAAAAAAAAAACAAGAACCAACCACGCAUACCAGGUCUAACUUAUGCAUGUGCAGCAUCCUAUUUAAUAAUUUACAGCUGUGCAAAGAACAAGCAGGUGAGUGUAUUCCAUACAGCUGCACAAAGCUCUGCGUAACCAGAGCGGAAACGGAAUGACUGCACGCACCUUUCUAUUUAUCCAGACCUCUAGAAAACGCAAACAGCAAAUUCUAAAGUGAAGCCAAAGCCAUGCAUGCCUCGAGGCCCUUUCCAGAUGGUAUGAAGACGAGCCCUUUUCCCUCCCUUUUACAUGACGUGAUUUUGCUUCCUCUCGGAUCAUCUCAGCCCUACUUACCGUUACACAACGUUUUUUGCACCCACGUUAACGUUAUUUGCUGCUAAUUCUGAUAUUCUGUCGUCAUCAGUGAAAAUGCUGAAACCCUCCCAGUUCUUGUUCAUGACGUGUCUCCGAGAUUACACAGCCCUCGAUAAAAAUGUCCCUGGGAAAGGAUAAAAGCGAUUACUGAGCUCAGUGCUUCAGACCCUUAAGCUGCCACCAGGUGCAUCAAAUGUGCCAGUUUUUCUCUUCUGCUUGCUUAACAGAGGAAAAAGCUCAAAUGAACGUUUAUCUGAUGUUCCUCCUGACCCCAAACUAAAGCUGUUAUUGCCUCUCUGAAUAUAUUAUUCCAUUCCUGUAAAGCCAUUUAGUUGCAAAUUCAACAUUUUCUUAUUGCAUAUGCCCACAUUAGCCAUGGUAAAGGCCUGUAACAGGGCAGAUGCAGUUCUGUCCCAAUGACCUCUCUGGUAUUUCUAUAGAAAUGCUCUGUUAAACACCCAGGCAUUUCAACUUCCAGUCACAAGACCUAUAAAAAAUUCAUACACCGAAUCUCUGGUUUCAAACCACAGCUCUGCAUCAUUAAGAGCUUUUCAAUCCUCCCACCCCACAGACGUUAUGAAGAAGGGGGGAGGGCGGCUCUACCUUCCCAGUGCUUAACCCUCACAUCUUCUGCUCCUCCUGCCUGCAAUUUUAACCAGCUCUGGGUGGAGGCUGGCAAACACGUGUGAGCUGCAGAGCACACAACCAGGCUGAUAUCCCAUCACCCCCAACAGAGCUUAAGAACGUGUUCGCAUUUUGAGAUCUGCCCCAAACUUCUCAGCGGGAAGCAGCAAAGGGGCUUCUAAGGAACCCCGGCACCUCCGUGCAUCUCUUGCUCUUUCCAGAGGGCUUUCACUCAGAACCCACCAGCCGGCUCCUCGUCUCCGAACGCCGCCCCUCGCUGACAGCCCCGUCC
rnacentral:lncRNA from 1 species